UACGUAGGGGGCAAGCGUUGUCCGGAUUUAUUGGGCGUAAAGCGCGUGUAGGCGGCCAGGUAGGUCCGCUGUGAAAACCCGAGGCUCAACCUCGGGACGUCGGCGGGAAACCAUUUGGCUAGAGUCCGGAAGAGGAGAGUGGAAUUCCCGGUGUAGCGGUGAAAUGCGCAGAUAUCGGGGAAGAACACCCGUGGCUAAGGCGGCUCUCUAGUACGGUACUGACGCUGAGACGCGAAAGCGUGGGGAGCGAACAGG
rnacentral:rRNA from 1 species